rnacentral:rRNA from 1 species
AUUGAACGCUGGCGGCAGGCUUAACACAUGCAAGUCGAGCGGGGAAAGGUAGCUUGCUACCUGACCUAGCGGCGGACGGGUGAGUAAUGCUUAGGAAUCUGCCUAUUAGUGGGGACAACAUCUCGAAAGGGAUGCUAAUACCGCAUACGUCCUACGGGAGAAAGCAGGGGACCUUCGGGCCUUGCGCUAAUAUAUGAGCCUAGGUCGGAUUAGCUAGGUGGUGGGGUAAAGGCCUACCAAGGCGACGGUCUGUAGCGGGUCUGAGAGGAUGACCCGCCACGCUGGGACAGAGACACGGCCCAGACUCCUACGGGAGGCAGCAGUGGGGAAUAUUGGACAAUGGGGGGAACCCUGAUCCAGCCAUGCCGCGUGUGUGAAGAAGGCCUUUUGGUUGUAAAGCACUUUAAGCGAGGAGGAGGCUACCGAGAUUAAUACUCUUGGAUAGUGGACGUUAUUCGCAGAAUAAGCACCGGCUAACUCUGUGCCAGCCGCCGCAGUAAGAC